GAUACGACCGUACCGCAAACCGACACUGGUGCGCGAGAUGAGUAUUCUAAGGCGCUUGAGAGAACUCAGGAGAAGGAACCCGGCAAAUUGACACCGUAACUUCGGAAGAAGGUGUGCCCUAUUAGUGUGUAGUGAACAAUGAAGCAUGAAUGGGUUGCAAAAAAUCGGUGGCUGCGACUGUUUAUUAAAAACACAGCACUCUGCAAACACGAAAGUGGACGUAUAGGGUGUGACGCCUGCCCGGUGCUGGAAGAUUAAAUGAUGGGGUGCAAGCUCUUGAUUGAAGUCCCAGUAAACGGCGGCCGUAACCAUAACGGUCCUAAGGUAGCGAAAUUCCUUGUCGGGUAAGUUCCGACCUGCACGAAUGGCGUAACGAUGGCCACACUGUCUCCUCCUGAGACUCAGCGAAGUUGAAAUGUUUGUGAUGAUGCAAUCUCCCCGCGGAAAGACGGAAAGACCCCAUGAACCUUUACUGUAGCUUUGUAUUGGACUUUGAACAGAUCUGUGUAGGAUAGGUGGGAGGCUUUGAAGCAGGGUCGCUAGAUCUUGUGGAGCCAACGUUGAAAUACCACCCUGGUGUGUUUGAGGUUCUAACCUAGGUCCAUUAUCUGGAUCGGGGACAGUGCAUGGUAGGCAGUUUGACUGGGGCGGUCUCCUCCCAAAGCGUAACGGAGGAGUUCGAAGGUACGCUAGUUACGGUCGGACAUCGUGACGAUAGUGCAAUGGCAUAAGCGUGCUUAACUGCGAGACUGACAAGUCGAGCAGAUGCGAAAGCAGGACAUAGUGAUCCGGUGGUUCUGUAUGGAAGGGCCAUCGCUCAACGGAUAAAAGGUACUCUGGGGAUAACAGGCUGAUACCGCCCAAGAGUUCAUAUCGACGGCGGUGUUUGGCACCUCGAUGUCGGCUCAUCUCAUCCUGGGGCUGUAGCCGGUCCCAAGGGUAUGGCUGUUCGCCAUUUAAAGAGGUACGUGAGCUGGGUUUAAAACGUCGUGAGACAGUUUGGUCCCUAUCUUCCGUGGGCGCUGCAGAUUUGAGGAAGCCUGCUCCUAGUACGAGAGGACCGGAGUGGACACACCUCUGGUGUAUCGGUUGUCACGCCAGUGGCAUUGCCGAGUAGCUAAGUGUGGAAGAGAUAACCGCUGAAAGCAUCUAAGCGGGAAACUAGUUUCAAGAUGAGAUCUGCCGGGGCCUUGAGCCCCCUAAAGAGUCGUUCAAGACCAGGACGUUGAUAGGUCAGGUGUGGAAGCCG
rnacentral:rRNA from 1 species